UACUAAGAAUAAUUUAGUUGCUAUUUAUCUUACUUCUACCGACUAAACUAUUUGGUUGGCAAUUGUAAUUAAGUUUUGGAGGGAAGAUUUCCAAUUUUGGAGGGAUUCCUAAAACAAUUAGCGACUAGAUUAUUCAGUUCGUCGGGAAAAACUAUUUUAUUUCUUUUUGGCGACCAAUAGACACUAGUCGGGAAAAAACUAAACCUAAGAAAUUAGGUCCAAGGUUGAUUUGUCUCUCUCUCAUUCACACCUGUGCCACUGUCUCUCUUACUCUCGCUUCACGCCUCUGUGACUCUCUCUCUCUCUCACUCUCAUAUUUGCCCUCCUCUCUGUCGAUUUGUCUCCGUCUGUUACACGAGCACCACCGCAAGGGUUACACGAGCACCACAGUCACUUCCAGGUAUCUCAUCUAUUUCGCCCUCUCUCUAUUUGUCUCUGUGUCUUCGUCUCUCUGUUUUCUUCCAUUCAGAACUAUGAGGCACCAUAUGUUGAAGAAGUGGAACAAGUAUUGUUUCUUCAAUCUCCAUCCACCUCUUCAUCACAGAGAUCUUGUGUAUUAUCCAUCUAAUUCACUGCAAAACCACACUACACCCAACAAUCAAACCACUAAUUUUCGAAGCACUGUCGUUUGGUGAUGAUGAACAGACCGUGCUGAAUUAAUUGGAGUUAAUAAUCGACCUAGCCCCAAAUUGACCCAACCCCAAGCUUCUUUUCCAUACUCUAUCUAUGAGGAUGUUGGUCAUGACCCAUUAACAAACAUAGCAUCGAUUCCCAUUGAGUUCCGUUCAUUGAAUCACCCACAAAAACUACUCUCUUCCCUCUGAUCAAAACAAGCAUUUUUGUUGCAUUGAACCUAAGAAAAAUAACAACCUUCUCUCUCUCUCUCUCUCUCUCUCUCUCAUUCCUUCUCUCUCUGAUUUCAAUGGCAUCAGAUUGAACACCUCUAUCCAGAAAUGGGUUGAAGUUAUAGGACAAGCAUGCCAUAGUGUGGAUUUCUUGAAAGAUCAAGAUAUAAUCAGGACUGUCCUUAAAGAUCAAAAAAAUUAUCUCUUGACAUGUAAACUAGUUUAUUGUAUGAGAUAAGAAGAUUUGUUGCCUACUCUACAUUUCUCUAGCUUAAGAUCACUCCAUUGCAUAAACAAGAGAAGUCUGCUCUGCAUUUCUCUGGUUGAAGAGAGUGAUCAGCAGGUUCCUGUGAGAAAGGUGUGUGAGACGAGCUCCGAUCAACAGGAGAUUUUGGUUUGUGACACCGGUCUCUGCAAACGGGCUAAAUUCUACGGAUGAGGCUAGUCCAAUUUUUACAAUAGAUGAUGAAGUUCCUCUAGAGUCAUUUGGAACUCAAGCCAAACAUAAUUCAGAGCAGGCCAUCAAAAAUAUGAUCUUUUAAGCAUCAAUCAACUUCUAGAAUCUUAAAUUUAUUAGAGAAAGGCAUCAAAAAGCAUGGAGAUAUUUGAACAUAAUAAUGGUAUUCUUUUGGUCAUCGAACAUAAUAAUUGUGUCAUUACAAAGAAUUGUAGACAUGCUCCAGAUUGACAAGAAGAAAUGUAAGUGUCCUUGUUAUGUACUUUUUUCUUUCUUUCCCUCUGCGUUGGCUAUGAUGGGGAGUUGGCUAAUAUUACAUAUCGUAAGAGAUUUAUUGUAAUUUGCUAUUAAUGGGUUCCGUUCUUUGUAUCAUUUGGAUCAAAUGGUUGUUUUUGUUAAUAACUUAAUAAUGUGAAUAAAGGUUCACUUUGUGGGUUGAACUUUGUGAUAAAUUAAAGAAUUUAUCCAUUGAAGGAGUAAAACUCAUCAACCGUGACUCAUGGUUUAUCAUUGGUAAUAUAUUCAGUGAAACACAUUGGAUACUUUUUGCUACUUAAUCUUUUAGCUUUCUUUUUUGGGUCACCUUCUUCAAGAGUAUUUCUUUUUGUACCUUUCAUAAAAAGUAUUUUGUUCUAUGUUUCUGUAACAACCCUCACCACUGUGUACCGAUAAACUACCGAUUACUGCUAAACUGAGACUGAUUAUGAAAAGUAAUUGAACUGAUUGAAAUACUGAACUGACUAACUGAAAUUUGAAACUGAU